rnacentral:rRNA from 1 species
UACAGAGGUCUCAAGCGUUGUUCGGAUUCAUUGGGCGUAAAGGGCGCGUAGGCGGCGGGGUAAGUCGGGUGUGAAAUCUCAGAGCUCAACUCUGAAACUGUACUCGAUACUGCUCUGCUUGAGGACUGGAGAGGAGACUGGAAUUCACGGUGUAGCAGUGAAAUGCGUAGAUAUCGUGAGGAAGACCAGUGGCGAAGGCGGGUCUCUGGACAGUUCCUGACGCUGAGGCGCGAAGGCCAGGGGAGCAAACGGG